GGUGCUUCAUGGUGUCCCUGACUCUGCCUGAGAAAACUUUCCUCGAGUUCUGCUGUCUUUGCUUCACCCAUUCUGCUGUGGGUUGCCAUGCUCUGGGAAUGCCGGGUUUUGACAGCUGUGCUGAAGCAGGAGGGAAGUGCCAAGACAGAAGGAUUUCCCUGUGAGGCUGUGACAUCUUGCAGCUUUGCUGUCACUUGUUAUGUGGUGGAGCAGCAGAUCCCUCACUUUUGCAGCCAAGGAAAGCCUGAUCCAUGGAACAGUACAUGGGCCCUGGAAGCAGAACGAAGGAAAUGCAGUUUAUGUCAGUCAGAAUUGUUUGUUGUCUGAUAACAUCACUGUCUCAGCAGGGAAAUCAUUUCCUGUAAACAAUAUGGCUUUAUCUGAAAAAUCUGCUAUUUUAAUAAAGUGAAAAAUUAUUU